UCCGACGUAGCUCAAUGGUGGAGCAAUCGGCUGUUAACCGGUUGGUUGCUGGUUCGAGUCCAGCCGUCGGAG
rnacentral:tRNA from 1 species